rnacentral:rRNA from 1 species
CCCUUAGAUGUCCUGGGCCGCACGCGUGUUACACUGACGCCUACAGCGAGUACUUCCCAGCCCCGAGAGGUGGCUGGUAAUCAGCAAUAGGCGUCGUGAUGGGGAUAGAUCUUUGGAAUUAUGGAUCUUGAACGAGGAAUGCCUAGUAAGCGCAGGUCAUUAGCCUGCGCUGAUUAAGUCCCUGCCCUUUGUACACACCGCCCGUCGCUCCUACCGAUUUCGAGUGGUCCGGUGAAUCUUUCGGACUGCGCGCGGCCUCGUGCCGUGUCGCGGAAAGUCAGGUAAACCUUAUCACUUAGAGGAAGGAGAAGUCGUAACA